rnacentral:rRNA from 1 species
AACGAACGCUGGCGGCAGGCUUAACACAUGCAAGUCGAACGCUCGUCUUCGGACGGGAGUGGCAGACGGGUGAGUAACGCGUGGGAACGUACCUUUCGGUUCGGAAUAACCCAGGGAAACUUGGGCUAAUACCGGAUACGCCGGAAACGGGAAAGAUUUAUUGCCGAAGGAUCGGCCCGCGUCGGAUUAGCUAGUUGGUGGGGUAAUGGCCCACCAAGGCAACGAUCCGUAGCUGGUCUGAGAGGAUGAUCAGCCACACUGGGACUGAGAUACGGCCCAGACUCCUACGGGAGGCAGCAGUGGGGAAUAUUGGUCAAUGGGCGCAAGCCUGAACCAGCCAUGCCGCGUGAGUGAAGAAGG